CACGUAGGGUGCGAGCGUUGUCCGGAAUUAUUGGGCGUAAAGAGCUCGUAGGCGGUUUGUCGCGUCUGCUGUGAAAACUCGGGGCUCAACCCCGAGCUUGCAGUGGGUACGGGCAGACUAGAGUGCGGUAGGGGAGACUGGAAUUCCUGGUGUAGCGGUGGAAUGCGCAGAUAUCAGGAGGAACACCGGUGGCGAAGGCGGGUCUCUGGGCCGUAACUGACGCUGAGGAGCGAAAGCAUGGGGAGCGAACAGG
rnacentral:rRNA from 1 species